rfam:Fukomys damarensis contig90623, whole genome shotgun sequence.
CCAAAGGCUCUUUUCAGAGCCACCACUGAUCUCGGGAUAAAGCGCU